rnacentral:rRNA from 1 species
UACGUAGGUGGCAAGCGUUGUCCGGAUUUACUGGGCGUAAAGAGCGCGCAGGCGGUCGUACAAGUCGCGUGUGAAAGCCCCCGGCUCAGCUGGGGAGGGUCACGCGAUACUGUUCGACUCGAAGGCAGGAGAGGGAAGCAGAAUUCCCGGUGUAGUGGUGAAAUGCGUAGAUAUCGGGAGGAAUACCAGUGGCGAAGGCGGCUUCCUGGCCUGUUCUUGACGCUGAGGCGCGAAAGCUAGGGUAGCAAACGGG